UCAACUGAUCAUUAAAAUUAAAAAUUCACUUUAAAAUUGUGUUUAUAAUAGUCAACCUUCCAUGUUAAUCAUUUAAAUAAAAACACAUCAGCCAUUUUGAAUACCAAGACCCACAAUACACUGCUCUGUUUUGAUUAAAUACAUUAUCAAAUGUAAGUUUUCUCAAGACAUAUAAAUUGUUCUUUAUGAAAGAACAAGAUAAAAACCUAGACGCAUGCAGGCAA